ACACUUCCUGAGGGACACACAGACCUCCAUGCUAAGGUCGCCGGAUCUCAGACACGGGAAGCAAAUCUGGAGAAAGAACUGUUCUGCAGCCAGAGGGUUGCACAUUUUUCACCUCUGUCUAUUCUCUGGCCAUCAAGUCCUCUUUACAACCCCAUGGACCUUGUCCAGCAGGGGCCUGGCGGGGAGGGGUGCGCAUCUCAUCUACCUAGGCACUGGCCCCGCGGCCCUUCCCUGGGGAACAGCACGUCCAUGCUGGAAUCACUCUUUGCUAUAUAAAAGUUUCUCAAUCCAGGUGGUUUGGACAAGUGUGAAUGCGUGACUCGGGCACACAGCAUUCCAUGCCCCUUGGCCCUCAUGAUUGACUCGGGAUGAAUAUAGGAGCAACUUUCUAUGGAUAUCACUGGAGCAAGAAGUUCUUUCUGAACUACUAGGGCUUCUAGUUUCUAUGGAACUUGAAACCGUGAAUAGCUGUCAGCUGGUCCCCAUAUUGGCCACGUGAGAGGAAGGAGACUCUCAACGUCUACUGAACAGCUUCCCAUACUUGCCACAUGGAACUGCUGUCUUUCUGGUAUGAGCUCUCCAAUGGGUGGGUGGCAGCUGCAGUCUUCCUUGAGCUACCCAGGGUAUCUGUCCAGCAUGACUCUGCGAUGUUUACUAGUAUAAAAGAAGUUAAAAUGGACCUUCAAAAUACUGAGAAUAGAACCAUAGGGGUAUGUGUUUUCAUUUUUGCAGGACUUGCAAAGAGAUUAGUGAAUAUCAACUUUGCAACUUUUAGCUCCUCUCCCAGGGUGGAAUGUGAAGCAGCCAGGAGAGCUGUGAUUCUGAGGAUUUCUGUGGAAAGAGUACUGAGUGACUGGGUCUUACCCUGUGAGGCCAGGGCAGGGACUCUUCUCCCUCACCUAAGACUGGGGAAGGCUUCAAGGAGACCACCUGGCUGGAAGACAGGCUGGGCGUCCCUCAAGAAGGAUAGAUAUUCCAGAGCAGGAUUUAAGCCCUCAGUGGGUGAAUCCUGGAUUAAAGGAUUAAAGGACCCAGGACCUGGGUCUUUGUGGGAGCCAUUGAGGGUGAACGAUACUAUAUGGUAAGUCUCUUUCCGGGUGGACUCCCUUGGGGCCGCUGAGGCUGGUUUUCUAGGCUGCCCCCUUUCUCUGUGGCUGCUUGAGCUUAGAACUUUGAGCACUUCCCAUACCUGGGAACAUUUUGGAAGUACACUGUGCCCAGGCCCUUAAGGACUCAAAGAUAAGCCAGCUCUGCCCUCCCUCCCAGAACUCUGGCUGGGCUACGUGGCCUCUCUGGGGCUCUUUGAUACAGGCCAAGAACUGUCCCUCCUCUCCCAGUUAGGGCAAGGAUCAAAGGGGGUGAUUAAGGGUAGAGUGCCCAGCGCAGUGCCUGGCAUAUAGUAAGCUCACCCUAAAGUGCAGAGCUGUGGGAGUAUCAUUUUGGAACUAGUAUGGAGGAUGGAGUGGGGAGGAAACUGGAAUCACAUAUGUACAUAACUAUAUAUACUGCUCUGAAAGAACAUGUUGCUUGCUCUAAGCCUCUGGUGGACUCCCUCUUAUGUGGUGGCCAUGAGGAAUUGUGGCCACACAUCUGGGUCCCCUCCUUGAUUCUUCCAGGUAGCAGGAGAUGGCAUCCAGCUUGGAGUCCUCUGACAGAUGAGGAGCACUGACUGGACCACCUUGCCUUGACA
rnacentral:lncRNA from 1 species